rnacentral:rRNA from 1 species
ACGGCUCAGUAACACGUAGUCAACCUAACUCGUGGACGUGGAUAACCUCGGGAAACUGAGAAUAAACCACGAUAGAUCAUAGUGCCUGGAAUGGCUUAUGGUCCAAACAGUUUACUGCCAUGGGAUGGGACUGCGGCCUAUCAGCUUGUUGGUGAGGUAAUGGCCCACCAAGGCGAUUACAGGUACGGGCUCUGAGAGGAGAAGCCCGGAGAUGGGUACUGAGACACGGACCCAGGCCCUAUGGGGCGCAGCAGGCGAGAAACCUUAGCAAUGUGCGAAAGCACGGCUGGGUCAGUCCGAGUGAUUCCUGAUAAAGGAGUCUUUUGCUUGUCCUAAAAGCACAGGUGAAUAAGGGGUGGGCAAGUCUGGUGUCAGCCGCCGCGGUAAUACCAGCACCUCGAGUGGUCAGGACGUUUAUUGGGCCUAAAGCAUCCGUAGCCGGCUCUGCAAGUCUUCGGUUAAAUCCACCUGCUCAACAGAUGGGCUGCUGGAGAUACUACAGGGCUAGGGAGUGGGAGAGGCAGACGGUAUUCAGUGGGUAGGGGUAAAAUCCUUUGAUCCAUUGAGGACCACCAGUGGCGAAGGCGGUCUGCCAGAACACGUUCGACGGUGAGGGAUGAAAGCUGGGGGAGCAAACCGGAUUAGAUACCCGGGUAGUCCCAGCUGUAAACGAUGCAAACUCGGUGAUGCAUUGGCUUAUGGUCAAUGCAGUGCCGCAGGAAGCCGUUAAGUUUGCCGCCUGGGAAGUACGGACGCAAGUCUGAAACUCAAAGGGAUUUGACGG